CGGCCCGGUCAUAGCGACCGGGAAACACCCGGACUCAUCUCGAACCCGGCAGUUAAGCCGGUCGCGUUGGGGUGCCCAGUAGGGUCCGAGAGGACCUGCAGGGGCCCCAAACCGGGACCG
rnacentral:rRNA from 1 species